ensembl:lncRNA
CUUUGCUGUGAGAACGUCAGGAUCUGGCUGCAGCACAGGGUCAGUGAGCGUGCAAAGACUUGGCAGAGGAAAACACGUGUGUUCGUGGAGACCUUUCAAUUAGGAACUGGGCGAGAAGGCAGAGGAAGAGAUGGGGAGGGUUCCCUGUAGCCCUGAGAGAUGAAGUGGCUUGACCAAGGACACAUUGGUAGUUCUUUUUUCUGUGCACCCGUCAGGUAGACCUGCUUUCUCGAGGAGCCGAUUUGAGGGGGUGAGGAGAACUACUCUUCAUUAGAUGAGAGGAGAGAAGCCAGAUAUUUGCAGCUGGAGUUGGCUAUGUGACUCCUGCCACCUGCUGCUGCUAAUUUGUUCCUGGGUCGACCAUCUGACCUUCUGCCCACGAAAUGAGACAGUGAAACACUCCUUCUGCCAACAGAGCUACAUGAAAACACAAAUUUUCACUUCAUCAAGUGAUCACCAUGCUUCAGUUUCUGACUCCGCCCAUGCUCCACCACCAGGCUCAGGUGUGCUCCUGGAAGUAUCACUCAUUCUUCCUCCCCAGGUUGGGCUAGGUGGGUGUGUGUGUGUGUGUUCAGUUGCUCAGUCUUGUCUGACUCUUGGCAACCCUAUGGACUGCAACCCACCAGGCUCCUCUGUCUCUGGGAUAUUCCAGGUAAGAAUACUGGAGUGGGUUGUCCUUUUCUCUUCCAAGAGAUUUUUCCAGCCCAGGGAUCGAACCUGUGUCUCCUGAGUCCCCUGUUUUGGCAGGUGGGUUCUUUACCACUGAGCCACCUAGGAAGCCAGGUUGGGCUAGAUGCCCAUAAGCAAACAUUCAACAUUCUGCUGUCAAAGUCUGUUUCCUGUGGCUCUCUCCCAUUAUUACCUGUGAGCACCUUGAGGGCUAGAACUGACUCUGAUAUUUGUUCGUCUUUGACUCUGCAGCACUAUUAGUGAAUCUCAUAGAUGCUUAUAUUUAGGAUUUGCUCAGCAUAGCAGAACAGAUUGAAAACAGACUUUCCUUGCUGAAGGGGCUGAAGGCUCAGAUGGCUAGAAUAACCAUCUGCAAAGAGUGCAUACAUCUCAGAAGUUGCUCAAGGUGAUUCCACAGAGAAACAAAGAAAUAUUAGAAUUGCUAUUAAAGGGUAUAACUGUUCUUUACCCCUUCACUUAAAUGAUUGUUUUGAAUAUGUUUUAUCAUAGAUACAAUUAUUGGUACAUUACAUGUAUAUCCAUGUAUUUAUGUGUGUGUAAUUGUAUUUGCAUUUAUAUAUGUUGAAACUACCUGUACAAAAUUUUUGUUUUGAAUGUAGGUUUAGGUUAUGGGUGCAAUUCCUUUGUGUGUCGGUCACGGACUAUUUCGAGGCUGCAGAAUGAUCCAGCAAUUGCACUUACGGUCAUAUAUCCUAAGGAAAUGAAGUCACCAUCUUGGACACAUACCUGCACUUUCAUGUCUAUUUCAGCAUUAUCUGGAAGAGUCAAGACAUGGAAACAACUUAAGUGUCUGUCGAUUGAAGAAUAAAUAAAGAAAAUAUGGUAUAUAUAUUUUUAAU